rnacentral:tRNA from 1 species
GCCUCGGUGGUGAAAUCGGUAUACACGACGGACUCAAAAUCCGUUGCCGCAAGGCGUGUCGGUUCAAGUCCGACCCGAGGCA